GGCGCGAAACUUUGCCUACACGAAAGUGUGACAGGGUCAUCCCGAGUGCCGACCGCUGAGGUUGGCUUUUACCCAGUCUAGAAAGCUGGGGGAAUAAGGAGAGGGCAAGUCUGGUGUCAGCCGCCGCGGUAAUACCAGCUCUCCGAGUGGUGUGGACGUUUAUUGGGCCUAAAGCAUCCGUAGCUGGCUGAACAAGUCCCCUGUUAAACCCACCGAUUUAAUCGUUGGUCUGCGGGGGAUACUGCUCGGCUAGGGGACGAGAGAGGCAGACGGUAUUCCCGGGGUAGGGGUGAAAUCCUAUAAUCCCGAGAAGACCACCAGUGGCGAAGGCUGUCUGCUAGAACGCGCCCGACGGUGGGGGAUGAAAGCUGGGGGAGCGAACCGGAUUAGAUACCCGGGUAGUCCCAGCUGUAAACGAUGCAGACUAGGUGUUUGGACGGCCACGUGCCGUUCUAGUGCCGCAGGGAAGCUGUUAAGUCUGCCGCCUGGGGAGUACGAUCGCAAGAUUGAAACUUAAAGGAAUUGGCGGGGGAGCAC
rnacentral:rRNA from 1 species